rnacentral:rRNA from 1 species
UACGAGGGGUGCAAGCGUUGCUCGGAAUUAUUGGGCGUAAAGGGUAGGUAGGUGGUCUUAUUUGUCAGGGGUGAAAUCCUUGGGCUUAACUCAAGAAGUGCCCCUGAAACGGUAAGACUAGAAUCUUGGAGAGGUGAGCGGAAUUCCCGGUGUAGCGGUGAAAUGCGUAGAGAUCGGGAGGAACACCAGAGGCGAAGGCGGCUCACUGGACAAGUAUUGACACUCAACUACGAAAAGCGUGGGGAGCAAACAGGG